rnacentral:rRNA from 1 species
AUUGAACGCUGGCGGCAUGCCUUACACAUGCAAGUCGAACGGCAGCAUAGGAGCUUGCUCCUGAUGGCGAGUGGCGAACGGGUGAGUAAUAUAUCGGAACGUGCCCUAGAGUGGGGGAUAACUAGUCGAAAGAUUAGCUAAUACCGCAUACGAUCUACGGAUGAAAGUGGGGGAUCGCAAGACCUCAUGCUCCUGGAGCGGCCGAUAUCUGAUUAGCUAGUUGGCGAGGUAAAAGCUCACCAAGGCGACGAUCAGUAGCUGGUCUGAGAGGACGACCAGCCACACUGGGACUGAGACACGGCCCAGACUCCUACGGGAGGCAGCAGUGGGGAAUUUUGGACAAUGGGGGCAACCCUGAUCCAGCAAUGCCGCGUGAGUGAAGAAGGCCUUCGGGUUGUAAAGCUCUUUUGUCAGGGAAGAAACGGUUGAGGCUAAUAUCCUCGGCUAAUGACGGUACCUGAAGAAUAAGCACCGGCUAACUACGUGCCAGCAGCCGCCGCAG